ensembl:lncRNA
AGAUUUUUAAGAGCAAUUCUUAAUGCAAAGGGUGCAUCUGCUAAACUCUUCCAACUGAGUCAUUACACUACAGGUGUAAUUUUAAAUGCCACAAGAGAGCAAUUGGCCCAACAAGGAUUAAAAAAAGUCAACUUUGAGCAAUAUGAUGGCAUAAUUGCUGCUUUGAAUGUCGAUCAUGUACACUGGAAGUUUGUGUAUGUCCAUGCUUUAUCAGAACAAAUUUUUGUGCUUGACCCUCAAUGUGGAAAUGAUGAAAAGGAGGCAGCCACACAGGCCUGUAAAAAAUUUGGGUACAUUAGCUUUCUUUUCAAAAUAACUUUUCUCCUCUGUCAGAACACUCUGUUGUUGGUGUAUUUGGGAGAGUGCAGAAUAACACCAAAAUCACAGUGCAUUGUUUUUGGCCAACAACAGGGAAUUCUUCAAAAUGAGGAGAAAUCAGCAUGGAAGAGAAGACUGGGUAGACACCAAAUGGCAGCCUGGCACAAUAGACCAUACAUUUCAGAAGGAUGGUUACAGCUGUGGUGUGUUUGUGAUGCAGAUGGCCGCGCAGAUUGUGGAAGACUUUCCAAAAAUUCCGGAAAGAAUUGACAUGGAUCCCAGCAAGGACUGGAUGCAGAAAUGUAGGAAAAAGGCAUUCUACUAGCAUCAGGUAUUAUAGUGUGUUUUUUUUUUUUUUUGUCCUUUUUAUUUUUUUGACAGACCAUUUAUUAAAAGCAUAUCCCUAUGUUCAUUUUAAUUAUUGCAGUCUCAAGGGAAGAAUAUUGUUCCAUCUGUGGGCAAAAACCUGCACACAAAAAGGAUGAGAUUUGGGUAAUCAAUAUGUCAUGAUUUCAGUAGUGACAAAAUAGGAAGUGAAUUUAUUUUGGCUACAUGCAUAAAAAAAAACGGUACAUUUUCUGUCUGCAAUGUUUAUUACCUUUGGCCUUCUGGCUCUAUGUUUACAUUAAAACAUUUUUGAAGGAUUUUUCGUGUGUUAGUUUCGUGUGUAAUUUUUUUUAAUUAUUUUUUUUUUUUUUUAUUGAUUUGAAAUGACAUGUCAACACUAAAAAUUGCUAAAUAGUACUUUAUCAGACCAUUUAGGUAAUCUCUGUAAAAGCAGCAACAUGCAGAGAGGCAGCAUUAACAGUUAAGUUAUUUAUUUAGCUCUCUCUCCAUGACUUAGGUGCCCUUGAGCAAGGCAUCGAACCCCCAACUGCUCCCCGGGCGCCGCAGCAUAAAUGAUGAACACUGCUCCGGGUGUGUGCUCACAGUGUGUGUGUGUGUGUGUGUGUGUUCACUGCUCUGUGUGUGUGCAUUUCGGAUGGGUUAAAUGCAGAGCACAAAUUCUGAGUAUGGGUCACCAUAUUUGGCUGAAUGUCACUUCACUUUAUUCAUAAAAUUAGCGUCAUCAAAUUUAAUGCUGAUCAUAUGAGCUCUAGCACACAUCUAUAUUUUUGUACAUGUAUAUCCAAUCGGCUAUAUAUGGCAUCGGUUAAGUUUUGUUUUUUAAUGCAAUACAUGCAGAAGUGAUGUAACCGUGUAUUUAUGUAACACACUGAACACUAGCGAAACACAAAAAUCGUUAUAUCUUUAGGGUGUAGAACUAGAACAUAAAGAUAAUAAGCCUAGCAGGAACAAAUAACUAUUUUUUUACUCCAGAUUACUUUUUAGUGACAUUUAUUAUUGUUUUUUUUCAUUGACACAUUAACCAGUUCAAUAGCAUUUUUUUUUCUUCAAUGAAGAGAUAUUUUGAGAUGCUCAGUUUCUACUAGCAGUGUGCGGUGUAGAGUUCAAUAGCUUUUCUUCGUACUGUAGCUCUGAAACAAAUUCGACUUUACGCAACAAACCUAGUUUAUAAAACUUUACGUAGAAUUGAUCCAAAAGUGUACGCACGAAAGCUAGAUUCUUUACAAAAGUGUUCAGAUUUAUAAAACCAUGCGUAUAGUUGAAGCUGCACAAAAAUCCUUUUAUAAAUCCCAGUUAGAGCAAGAUUAUGUGCAUUACGCCAUCUUCUCAGAAAUCACCAUAUUGAGCUUACAAUGCCUAGUUAUACUAUGCAUAACCUUAUCUGCAUCUUAUUUCCAUGCGUAUUCUCAUUCACAAGACCAUGUUUACCACUUUCAAAGGUACAAGACAUUAAGGAAAUAUGAGAUAUGGCUUAUACAUGUAAUUUGUGCCAUACAUUAAUUUUUAUUUCUAAAAAUCUUCUAAUAGCUUUGUUUCGAAUGAAGUAUCUAAAUAUUCACAAAAAGUUAAACCGUUUAA